AGAGUUUGAUCCUGGCUCAGAUUGAACGCUGGCGGCAUGCCUUACACAUGCAAGUCGAACGGCAGCACGGGAGCAAUCCUGGUGGCGAGUGGCGAACGGGUGAGUAAUAUAUCGGAACGUGCCCAGUCGUGGGGGAUAACGUAGCGAAAGCUACGCUAAUACCGCAUACGAUCUAUGGAUGAAAGCGGGGGAUCGCAAGACCUCGCGCGAUUGGAGCGGCCGAUAUCAGAUUAGCUAGUUGGUGGGGUAAAGGCCCACCAAGGCGACGAUCUGUAGCUGGUCUGAGAGGACGACCAGCCACACUGGAACUGAGACACGGUCCAGACUCCUACGGGAGGCAGCAGUGGGGAAUUUUGGACAAUGGGCGCAAGCCUGAUCCAGCAAUGCCGCGUGCAGGACGAAGG
rnacentral:rRNA from 1 species